AGAGUUUGAUCAUGGCUCAGGAUGAACGCUAGCUACAGGCUUAACACAUGCAAGUCGAGGGGAAACGACAUCGAAAGCUUGCUUUUGAUGGGCGUCGACCGGCGCACGGGUGAGUAACGCGUAUCCAACCUGCCGAUAACUCCGGGAUAGCCUUUCGAAAGAAAGAUUAAUACCGGAUGGCAUACGAAUAUCGCAUGAUAUUUUUAUUAAAGAAUUUCGGUUAUCGAUGGGGAUGCGUUCCAUUAGUUUGUUGGCGGGGUAACGGCCCACCAAGACUACGAUGGAUAGGGGUUCUGAGAGGAAGGUCCCCCACAUUGGAACUGAGACACGGUCCAA
rnacentral:rRNA from 1 species